CCUACGGGUGGCAGCAGUGAGGAAUAUUGGUCAAUGGGCGGGCGCCUGAACCAGCCAAGUCGCGUGAAGGAAGCAGGUACUUAGUAUUGUAAUCUUCUUUUGUCGGGGAACAAAGGCGGAGACGCGUCUCCGGAUGAGUGUACCCGAAGAAAAAGCAUCGGCUAACUCCGUGCCAGCAGCCGCGGUACUACGGAGGCUGCAAGCGUUAUCCGGUUGUCUUGGGUUAAUAGGGUGCGUAGGUGGGAGAUCAAGUCAGCGGUACAAUGUCGGGGCUCAACCCCGGCCGGCCGUUGAAGCUGGUUGUCUAGAGUUGGAGAGAAGUAUGCGGAAUGCGUGGUGUAGCGGUGAAAUGCAUAGAU
rnacentral:rRNA from 1 species